rnacentral:rRNA from 1 species
UACCAGCACCCCGAGUGGUCGGGACGUUUAUUGGGCCUAAAGCAUCCGUAGCCGGUUCUACAAGUCUUCCGUUAAAUCCACCUGCUUAACAGAUGGGCUGCGGAAGAUACUAUAGAGCUAGGAGGCGGGAGUGGCAAGCGGUACUCGAUGGGUAGGGGUAAAAUCCGUUGAUCCAUUGAAGACCACCAGUGGCGAAGGCGGCUUGCCAGAACGCGCUCGACGGUGAGGGAUGAAAGCUGGGGGAGCAAACCGG